rnacentral:lncRNA from 1 species
UGUAUAAAUAAAGGUAUGACUCCCUGAACUGCGAAGUUGAGCAGCUUAUGAUAGAGGAAGACAUCAGGCAGCAGGAAGGAAGGAGGAAGGGUUGUAUUAGGGCCGUUGUAUAUGACUCAUAGAAAUGGCUACAGUAACUCCUGGUUGCUUGGAAGGUAUAUAACCCAGAAGAAAAGAUCUUGAAAUCAGAGAGUGCACAGCAACUUCUGAGAAGAGAUUAUAUAAAGUGGUAGGUGGGAAGUUAAUUAAGUAAAUUCUUUUGCCUUUGGGCCCUCUCAUGUUAUUAAGUGACUUUGCAU